GGCAAGGUGGCUGAGUGGUUAAGGUGUGUGACUCAAGUAUUCUGGUUGAUUCUAGAAACCUUGACUCAGUAAGGAUUUCUCAUUAUGGUAUUGUAGUGUGGGGUCAAGUUCCAUCCUUGUCA